AGCAGCAGCCACGGGAAUACAGAGGGUGCGAGCGUUAAUCGGAUUUACUGGGCGUAAAGCGUGCGUAGGCGGCUUCUUAAGUCGGAUGUGAAAUCCCUGAGCUUAACUUAGGAAUUGCAUUCGAUACUGGGAAGCUAGAGUAUGGGAGAGGAUGGUAGAAUUCCAGGUGUAGCGGUGAAAUGCGUAGAGAUCUGGAGGAAUACCGAUGGCGAAGGCAGCCAUCUGGCCUAAUACUGACGCUGAGGUACGAAAGCAUGGGGAGCAAACAGGAUUAGAUACCCGUGUAGUCCCUGUCUCUUAUAU
rnacentral:rRNA from 1 species